AUAUUUAUUUAUUAACUUUACAAUCAUACAAAAAAUUAUAACAAUGAUUGAAGGUAUGGUCAACAGGACAUGAGUCCCAUGUGAAGACCAACCUGAUACAAUACAAUAAGUAGAAACAUUAAAGACAAGGACUAGAACACUAUUUACAUAGCUAUAUAAAAAUUAAUACUUUAGAUUAUGAGCAACAACUUGAAAGAACGGCAUUUUGAGCAAUAGGUUUUCCAAGUGCGCAUUCUGUUAACAUCGAAAGAAGAGUCUAAUUGAGAAGAGUAUAGUGAGAAUGGAGCUGGAACUUAAAGGAUGAAACAGACGAACUGUUACGAAUGAUCGGAGAGAGAUUUUUCCAUAGAA